ACUAUCUCUCCAUCUUUUUUAUUUUGUAUAUCUGUAUUAUACUACAUUAUUGCUGUCUUAUUUAAACAUUUACUUUAAAAUAAAGAUUCUGGGAUCUCAAAGGGCAACACUGUGGGCGACAGAAAUUGACACGUGGCCCAGCAGCAACAAAAAGAAAGCGUGCCUUGACAGUCUGACAUACUCCGGGCGUGGGCACAGACAGUUUCUGCUGAUCUAUCUCAAUAAUCUCCAGUAAUAUCCAUCAGAGCCAGUGCAUCUUCACAAUGUAAUGAAAGGUGAGGAUUGGCCAGAGACACGAUUACAAUGAUGACAUGGAAUUCCAGUGAACUGCAGGGCAGGUGCCUGAAACCCUAAGGAUAAGCACGCAGGUGCGCUGAACAAUUAAGAUCAUGUAUGCUUUCCCAGCAUCACAAUUCAACCCUUUGUCCUGCUGUUUGUAUUAACCAUUUCUGUAAAGACAGUAUUCAGCCCGUUCAAGACACAGUUCUUAAACCAGGUCUUUUGAGCCUCGCUCUCCGGCAAGGUCGUUGCCAAAUAAAACUUUA